UACAGAGACUGCAAGCGUUAUUCGGAUUCACUGGGCGUAAAGGGUGCGCAGGCGGCCAAGUGUGUGAGGCGUGAAAUCCCGAGGCUUAACCUCGGAAUUGCACCUCAAACUACUUGGCUAGAGCAUUGGAGAGGGUAGCAGAAUUCACGGUGUAGCAGUGAAAUGCGUAGAUAUCGUGAGGAAUACCAGAGGCGAAGGCGGCUACCUGGACAAUUGCUGACGCUCAGGCACGAAAGCGUGGGGAGCAAAAGGG
rnacentral:rRNA from 1 species